rnacentral:RNase_P_RNA from 1 species
AGCAGAGGGAGCCCGGCUCCCGUGCCGUGAGGCAUGAGGAAAGUCCCCCCACCCGUUCGGGCGGGCGGCCGGACGCAAGUCCGGGGCGGGAGACCGCCGGCACUGGAACAGAGACGACACGUCCCUCCUCGACCGAUGAGGCGUGCGACCCGACCCGGAAGGGAAGGAAGCUAACCCGCCGAGGGCGUGACCGACCGACGGACGGUCGCGUGACAGGCGAACGGCGCCAGCCGCGAGCCAGCGUGGCUUCGCCACGCAGACGGGAGGGGACCGAUGGAACGGCUAAUCCCCGCCGGUGCAAGUCCGUGCGCGCGAGGUAGCCCGAACCACCCGAGAGGGGCCGCGCGGACGCUCAGCCGAAUGCCGGGCCGAACAGAAGGGGGCUUACUCCCCUCGAGCU